CCCUGCCAUUUGUACACACCGCCCGUCGCUACUACCGAUUGAAAGUUUUAGUGAGGCAUUUGGACCUGCUAUCCAAAGGUUGGGCAACCGAUCUGGGACGGCGGGGAAGUCUGUCGAACUCAAAUUUU
rnacentral:rRNA from 1 species